rnacentral:lncRNA from 1 species
AUGCAAGUCGUGAUCAUGAUGAUACAUCACUUUUAUAAUUGUGAUGACUAGGAUAUAAAUCCGAAUCAUAUUAAAACUAUAUAAGCACUAUACAAAAUUACAUUAGGACGGAACUUAAUAAUAGAGCUCGUAUUCAUCAUUUCUUUUCUCAACAAGCCUAGUUUUUUUUUUCUUUUUCUUUUUUUUUUUGUAAACAAGCCAGAAAAUUUAUCAGACUCAUUAAUUUUUUUUUUCUUACACUAACUCGCAAUGUAUUUAGCAGUUAAUUGCAUGUAAACUCGAG